GCACCGAGCGGGCGGGACCGGGCGGGCGGCGCGGCCAUGGAGGCGCCCUCCGUGCCCUCGGUACCCUCCGUACCGGCCGCCGCAGGCCGCGGGCCCAUCAAAGGCAUCCUGAAGAAGAGCGGCAGCAAGGCAACGUCGGCGGGAGCGGCCCUUGGAGCGCGGCGGGCCAACCCGGCCUGCGACGAGGACGAGCACGGUAAAAAGUCCCAGAAGUGGGAUGAAAUGAACAUCAUAGCUACAUACCACCCUGCAGGCAAAGAUUAUGGCUUGAUGAAAAUAGAUGAACCAAGUACUCCUUAUCACAGCAUGGUAGGAGAAGAUGAUGAGGAUCCAGUGAGUGAUUCAGAAGCAAAUGAGCCCUUAAAAGCAGACGUGCUGAGUAAAAAACUGGCAGCUGCAGCUGAAGGUAAAGGACCCAAGAUCAUAGCAAGGCAAGAGGAAAGCAGUGAGGAGGAGGAAGAGGAUGAAGAAUUAACACCUGAGGAACGAGAGAAAAAGAAACAGUUUGAAAUGAAGAGAAAAAUGCACUACAAUGAAGGAAGAAACAUCAAACUGGCAAGACAGCUCAUUGCAAAAGAACUACAUGGUGAGGAGGAGGAUGAUGAUGAUGAGGAUGAAGAGAUGUCUGAUGCUGCAGAUGAGGAAACAAUGAGUACAGAAGCUGCUGUACAUGGGGAAAGGAGGGCUCCCAUAGGCAACCGUAUGACCUUUCUCCAUGGCUUGAAGCUGCCAUCUCUCUGCACUCUGCUGUAAAACAGAGGCAACUCCGCUCCCCAGCUGCAUUCGCCACUGGAAAGAAGGCACACCUUUGCAGCAUUUUUCCAUCUCUAUUGUUGAAGUCCAUUCCACCUUCCUCAUAACCAGCUUCAGAGCCACAACUGACUGAGAUUUCUUGCCGAUCGAAAUGAAGAUGGCCAGUCCAGUCAGUGAUGCACAUGUUACUCGUGACCAGCUGGAAAGUAGAGCACACAGCAUAGAAGAAAUCUGUCCAGAACUGUAACUGCUUGUCAAAGACACAAAUAUAAACAUCGCUUCAUGUUUUUUGCAAUUAAGGCUCUUAAAUGUUGAGAAGCAUAUCAGUUACAAUGUUGUAUUGCCAAGAAUGUUAAUUUUAGACUUGUCCAUUAGGCAGCAAACACUGUCUGAUUGAUUUAUUCUUGUGCCUAGUAUUUCAUGAAGAAUACUGCUUCAUAAUCUGUUCAACCAGAAUGGCAUUCCCUGUAUGUAUAAUGCUGAUUAUCUUGCGUGAUGUACUGUUACUCUUGCUUUGAAACACUCACUGUCUUUCGGUUUUUCACUAUUUAUUUGAGAGUGUUCUAGAUGUGGUGUCUCUUAUCGAAAGGUUUGGGAUUCAAGAGCCAAACGGUACAGCAUAAUAUCAGAUUGACAUGUGAGCUAUUUAUCAGAUGUGUUAAGCAAUUUAAAAAGGGAUUAUUUAAGUCCUACGACCUUUUUGUAAAGUGUUGACCUGUUAAUCUAGAUUUCAGUAUGUUACUGCCUGCACUUUCCCAGUCUUUAGAACAAGAGCUGUGUUAUUUCUUAAGAGCGGUGUUUGGAAUCGGUUGUUAGUUUCUGACUAAAGCAGUACUAACAUCUGGUGGAGGGAAUGUUUUGACACUGGAAACGGCUGACUUGAUCUUUGCAUUUCACUGUCAUUAUCUCUUCCAUCGGGACUGGCUGUUUUGUGGAGCUCUCUUUGGCUUAUUGUGACAACAUGGAAGUUUCCUCCAGCUUUUCUCUUAAAACCACAUCCACUGUCACUCUUCUGGCUCAUUUCAGACGUUUGGUUCUUUCCAGUUGCAUGAACAGUGCUUGUGCUACUAGCACCUGAGGAAAAACACCCAGCCACAAGGAAAUCCACAUCAGGACUGUGAAGAUGUGCUGAGCUUAGGCUCUGGCUGUUCUUUAUUAAAGAUAACUGCUGUUGAUCUACUCAUUUGGGGUUGGCAACCCCCAUACUGAAAACCACUGGUCUGUAUCUUCCUAUGUCCAUUGCAACUUACAGCAACUGCUUUUAUAAAUGAAGGUUUUUUGGAAGACUAGAAGGGAAACUGCCUAAUUCAAAUACUUUGUUUACAGUGUGAUUAUAUAGCCCCCAUAAAGAGGGAUUCUGCACCUCCAAAUUGCUGUAAGCAACUUCCCACUGGGUGAAAUUUGACUGGUGAAUGUUCCGGUAUUCAGAGUAGUUCCUGGGGUUUAUUACACAAACAAAGUAAUACACUUAAGCUUUAGCUUGGUUAUGGAAUACAGUGUAUAUCUUAAUUUUGAUCUGAAUUUGAUAUGUUGCAAAAAUCCAUAUAAUUAUAUGGAUCUAUUUUAAAAUGUCUUUUUCUCCACUGUAUAUGUGAAGUUUGAAUAAAGGAAUGAAAGUUAUUUUACAGUUAUAUGCAUUCUCAGGUGUGAGCUUUCCUGAAGUCCCAGAGAGAUUGAGAGUGAAUAAGGUGAUAGGAUGCUGUCCUUUGGAAGAAUUAUACAGGAAUAAUUCAUUAGAAUGGAUGCAUUGCCAAAGAUACCUGUGAGUUGUGCUAACUGGGUGUUGUAGUGUGCCUUUCCCAACUGUUUCCUCUCCUUAGUAGGUAACAAGGUAGUUAGUCAGCUGUGGGUUAUUUAAUCUUCUAAGGUCCUGAAUCAGGGUUAAUAGCAUCUUUUCACAAGAAAGAGUUGAACUCUUGAUUCAGGCCAGUGUGGUGAUGCUAAUUUUUCAAGAUGGAUAAUGCUAUUUCUUCUCGUAUCAAACACAGGCACUUCUAUAGAAUAAACAGGGGUUAAGAGCAAGCAUUUAGAUACUUCUGACUCCUCAAGUAAUUUAUUUGAGCUUUAAAUUUGGCUCACAAGAAUAGGAUUUCAAAACUCUUAAGUUUGCUCCCUUUCCAUAGCAGUUUGCAGUGUUCAGAGUGGUGUCUGCACUGAGCUGUUUCAGACCCCGCGCCAGGCACUGAGGUCCUGCUCGGCAAAGUCACGUCGCUUUCAGAGGGGUGUGAGUGGGUCGGGGGUGAUCAAUGUGUGUGGGGAACACAGAUCUGUUCUGUGAGGCUGUACAACACAGUACCUGUACUUGGUGAUAAGUACACGUGGGUACUUUGUACCUGCAGUUAAGGUAAAAUCCAGCAGCACCAGCUCUUAUCCAAGCUAAUGUCCUGUCCUCCUUACCCACGCCCUGCCUUCUGUGUCCAAGACCAUUUUGGUGCUCAGUGGGGCUUCUCUGUACCCUACAAGGUCUAGAAAGCAUUUUGUUUAACAAACAACCAAACUUUGCUAACUUCCAAUAAAGACCUUUCCUGUAAUGGCUUCCAAAGUCCCGAAUGAAAUGAGUGUGUAGCUUUGAGGGAGGUACAGUACAUAAAUGCAUGAAGAUGGUUUUAAAUUAACCUCAGAAUGUAUAGUAGGCCCUUUCAUCAGUCAGAUGAUUUUGAGCUGAGUGAUUUCCCUUUUUCCAUGCCACCAAACCCCUAGGUUCUAGUUUGAUGCCAUUUUGAAACUUGUUUUAGUUUGGGGUUUUUUUAAAGGCUUUGUUCUCUUCAUUCUCCUUGGUGCUGGCAAAAAUUCUGUUCUGCUGUUUCAUCUUCCUCACCAGGAGUGCAAACCUGAUGUCCCUGACACUGCUUUUAACUGAAAGGCAGGUUUACUUGGUUUUCUCCAGGCUUACACCUUCAUGUAUUUUAAAAGCUAAACCAGGCAAGUAGUUACAGAUACUCUAUAUAGCUUUUUUUCCAAAGGGAUGUCUGAUUUCCCUCUACUUGGGAAAUAUCAGUUAUAGUUCCCUGCCAAAGGGACAAGAGAAGAAAUGCCUUUUUUUUUUUUACAUUGAUGGGGAUUUAGCUUGCAUGUACAUCUUAAUCUUUAGGUGCAUAUGGUAAAGGUUCAUUUGUACAGUACAGAGUGGUAUAAAGAAGAAACAAAAGAUAUACAGCCCUUACUAAUGUGGACAGUGAGCUCCACAGCAUCAUAAUUGUGAAGCUUCUUGCACAGGUUUGAGUCCUCAAGCUGCAUCCUGUUUAGAGAGAGCAUUUUCAAUAUGCUUCCAAUAGGAAGAUAACUUGCAAAUAAGAGCCUUAACUCUGUCUAUAAAGUCUUUUUUUUCUGUUCUUAAAGUUUCUUUCACACCAAGUUGUACACAGUUCAUGGAAACUGCAGAUAUUUUUUCCACUCUCAUGUUAAAGCUGUAACUCUUACCAGAACUCUUUGUUUCUGUAAUAUGCUUUUUUUGUGGUGUUAAUUAUGAUGCCACCUCGCAAAUGUAAUUAUUCUAUUGGAAACCAGUGUUAAGUGUCACAACGUAAAUAAAACCAUUGUUUUCA